rnacentral:lncRNA from 1 species
GUAAGUUUAUUCAACAGACAUAAAAUUACUCUGAGAAAUUGCUUACAAAAGUUUACAAAUGCUUUCAAGUUCUGUAGAAAUCUCAUUACAGACAGGUAGUAAACAGUUUGCAGGCAGGCCUUGGCCCAUGGACCACAUUUUCGGUAACCCUGGGCCAUAGGACACAGCCAUUCAAAAUAAUGUGCCUUCAUUUCAAACUUGUCAUCAUAUGAACAAUAUUAUUCAGCAGGUUUCCAAACUGAGGAUGCUGUGACUAAAAGUUAUCAUCUGUAAAGUGUGUUAAUAUUCUAUACACUAGUUUUGUGAAAUAUUUUAAAAUACCACAGAGAAGGAAAAGAAGGAAGGAGGAAAAAAUAAAAUUGGCGAUCCAUUUCAUAACUGCACCAAAAAUUAUUUGAAUAGGGCUUUUUCAUAAAAUAUCACAACCAAGUGUCAAAAUUCCACUGAGGAGGGAAUAAAAGAACACUAGGUUAAAUUUACCAGGUGAGAAUUUAGUGAGGUGCAGCAGUCCCCCUUUAUUCACAAGGGUUGCAUUUCAAGACUCCCAGUAGGUGCUUGCAGUGGGGGGAUAGUACCAAAUCCUAUAUAUACUAUUUUUUUCCAAUAUAUACAUACCUAGGAUAAAGUUUAAUUUAUAAAUUAGACACAGUAAGUGAUUAACAAUAAUUAAUAUUAAAAUAGAACAAUUAUAGCAAUUUACUGUAAUAAAAGUUAUUUGAAUGUGGUCUCUUUCUCUCUGUCUCUCUCUUUCAAAAUAUCUUAUGUUCAUAAAAAUAACCUACUGCGGUUGACCGUAACUGAAACUGCAGAAAGUGAAACCACAAAUAUGAGGGAGCUACUUUAUAAAUAAGAAUGUUCUUUACAACGAAAACUGUCAAGUACUUCAAUGUAAUAGCUGUCAUGCCAAGAAACCCUGCCUAGUAGCCUAGCAUCAUGAGACUUAACCUUGCCUAUUAGGAAGUCAGCCAAUUUCUGCCUAAGAUUUAAUUAUUCUUCUAACAGAACCCAAACUUCUAACACAACCCAAACUCCAAAACAUGACCACGUGGCUAAUCUGCCUAUGGUGUGCCAAGAACUUCAAGGCAGUAAAGCUUAGGAAUUUAAGUACCAGAGAACACGAAACCACAGACUAUUAAAAAAUAUAGUACAGACAGUCCCCAAGUUAAAAUCGGGUGUGUUUCAAAACUUUCUUCAUUGGCUCUUCAGAACUCAGAAUACUUUUCCCAUAAUGAUGAUAUUAUAAACUAACAAAAGGCUAAUACAUGCAUAUGUAAGAGAACUACUGUGUACUAGGAAUGAAAAAGUAUAGAAAAUUGCCAAAGUAUAAACUUUUUAAUGUUCAAAAAUAUAUUUAUGAGAAUACAUAGUGAGCACAUUUCAAAUAUUUAAACUUAAUGAGGGAACCAUUAGGAUGGUAAAGGCUGUUUAAAGAAGUAUAUGCAAGACUGGUGUAUCGAAUUAGUAAAAGAAAAGAUGCUAAAAUAAGAUUGCUAAAUUAGAUACUGGGUAGAUUAACAGCUCACCAAAGUGGUAUAAAAAUUAUUUUAAACUGAGAACAUCUUAAUCUACAAUCACCAAAAAAUAAAAAUAAAACAUUAUCUACACUUAUGCAGGUACUCCCAAAAAUACACCUGCCUUUGACACUACCCACACCCCUUCACCCAGGGAGUUUCCUGUUUCAGAAAAUACUGACACUCAGCACCAGGAAGUAUGAAUUUAGCUGCCUAUUAGCAUCAAAAAGCCAAAUAGAGCCUUUCAUACUUUCCUAUUGAUGCCCUAAACCUCCCCUCCAUUUUUGCUAAAUUGGAAUACAAACCUUUAUCUCUGGCUACUAAACAAGUUACUCAUUACUGAGUACUUCUGUAGGCACAAAAACUUUUGUUCUGUUAAUCUAUUCUUAGUUAAUCCAAAGGCCUAGACCAUUCAAACCUAAGAGGGUUAGGGGAAAGUUUUCCUCCCAACAGAGCAAAACCGGCUAAUGUCGUAAAGAGCUAUAAAAUCAUAACCUCUGGAUUAUGUUUUCUACUGAAGGGGUUCAAAACAUGCUACCCUCAAAAUAUGCCACUUGGCAUAUUGCUUAUUUCAAGCUAAAGUAAAUUAAGAAACAGCCAAUGCAGAAAAAGCUCUUCACUUCCCCCUCACCUGUUUAAAAUAAUGUAUAAACUUCCCCUUCUGUAAGGAAAAUUUACAUUUACAAAGAAAAUUUCUAUUAGUAAAGGUAUCCAUACCAGGAAGAGAACAACUCUAAGACAAUUUUUAUUGCCUGAGAGACUCUUAUCCACAUAAGAAGGUAAACUAUAUUCACCCUACAUUUCCUCCUCUCACCUUCCCAUCAUUUGCCUCCACCACUCCCCAGAAGUUCCAAAGCCCUAUUUUUUCCUAUAGCUUAUGCUGACAUAUGUCUCAGUUAUCUGGGUACUUCCUUGAGUCUCAUUUUUAGUGGGAUUCCCACGCAUAUGUCCAUAAAUUAAAGUUAUUUUUCUCCUACUAAUGUUUUUUAUGUCCAUUUAAUUCUUAGACCAGCCACAGAACAUAGAAGGGUAGAAGGGAGCAUUUUUUCCUCCCCUACACAAUCACACAGAAAUCAAUUUCAUCUCUACCAAAUGAAAAUUAUUUUCAACUCUGUAAUGAUAGAUGUUAAUUCCUAGAAUCUAGUCCUAAUCAAUAGUAAAUAGUAAUUUUAACAAAAGAAAUGACAGGAUUUUUAGGUGCUGCUUUCCAGGUGGAAAUUUCUGCGGCCGGCAGCACUCCUGCCCCAGCUUCACUCCACUCAGGGCUCACUGCUAGACUUGCCCCACAUACUCGGCCCAGCAGGCUGUGCUGUGCUCAUGCUGCCAACCUGGAUCUCACACCCAUCAAGGGCAAGCCAGGAGCACCAGCUGCUACAGCAGUAGGGGGCAACUCCAGGGGCCACCUCUGUACAAGUCUGCAGCUGGACCAGGAAUACUGCAAGUGGCCUCCACCUUGGGCACCAGCAUCUGGAUGAGAGGAACAUGGUGGUGCCUGAAAAACUCAGAGACAUCAGCAACCGUGGAACCCAAAGGGGGUGUUACAGCUCCAGCUUGGGGAGUCCUGAGGUCUGGGCUCCAGAAGGGUUGCCGCUCUUCUCUCCCAUGGACCAGAGAAUGGGAGCGUGUCAAUGCCCACAGCUCAGUGAGCCAGCCAGGAACAUGUUACAGUCUUUUUUGCACCAAUCAUUCAGCAGGUCCCAGGUUCUUGUCCUACGUUCGAGAAGAAUGAGUUAUGCAGCCAACCAGAGGGUGACCAAGGCAGAGAAGAGUUUUAUCAAAUGGCAGAAGAGCUCUCCACAGAGAGGGUUCCCAAAGUGAGUAGCCCCUACCCAAAGUUGGGUAGUCCCUCCAUGUGGCUGAGUCUGGGGUUUUUAUAGGCUCAGAAUGGGGGAGAUGUGGGCUGUAGGUACCCUUGGAAAAGGCAACAUUUGAUUGAUUAAAAGGAAGUUUUCAGAAAUAACCAAUCAGAAAAGAGCGGGCACACAGAAAUAGUUCUCGCUUAGGUUGUGGACUCUAUCUGGAACCCGGAGCCAGGUUUUCAGGCUUCAGGCUGUUUUUGGCUUGAGGGUCAGGUUUCACUGCAGACCCACCCCUGUCUGCCUAGGAAUAUGUCUGCCUCCUGCUGUUAUCAGUAACAUCAUUCUAAAGCAUCAGAUGUCCCUCAGGUCAGCUUAUUAGACAAUGCUUUUAUAUGAGUUUGAAAGGACACAACUAUCUCUACGUUUUCUAAGUCUGGAAUAGUUUUCCUUAAUGAUAAAUUUCUAAACAGUAAAAUUCAUUGAAAAAUUUUAAAAUUUAUCCUAAUUUAGCAUCUUUUAAAAUGUAGAUUAUUUAAAUAAGAUGGUUGGGGCAUCAUUAUUUUUAUUGUUUUCCUAAGUUGGGCUUAUUGAGGUACAUAUGGUAAAUUUCACCCAUUUUAAGUGUACAGUUAUGAGUUUAGGAGGUCAGGUAACCAACACCACUAUCAAGAUGUAGAAUGUUUCCAUCACCCAGAAAAGUUCCUUUGUGCCCGUUUGUAGUCAAUUCCCUCAGCUUUCUCUAGUCCGUGGUAACUACUGAUCUGUUUUCUGUUCGUAUAUUUUCUCUUUUCCAGAAUGUCACGUAAGUAGAAUCAGUUCUCAUCAAUGCCAAUUUUUGCAUUUGUGCUUUAGCUUUGGUUAGUCUAUUCAUUCUGCAAACAUAAACAUAUCAGAAAUAUGCAUAUGCAUUACACAAAUAGGCAGAAAACUAGAGGCAGCAUUUUGGUUGUUGGGUUUUUGUUCUUGUUUUUGUUUUUGCUUGAGACAAGUCUCAUUCUGUCGCUCAGGCUGCAGUGCAGUGGUGCGAUCAUAGCUCACUGCAACCUCUGCCUCCUUGGCUCAAGUGAUGCUCCCACCUUAGUCUCCUGAGUAGCUAUUACCACAGGUGCAUGCCCCCACAUCUGGCUAAUUUUUAAAUUUUUUUUGUAGAAACAAGAGUCUCACAUGUUUCCCAGGCUGGUCUCUUUCUCCUGGGCUCAAGCGAUCCUCCUGUGUCGGCCUCCCAAAGUGCUAGGGUUAUAGGCAUGAGCCACCAUGCCCAGACUAGAGGUAGCAUUUUGAACUAAUUAGUCAGAAUGCAAAUACAACUCUGUGAAAUAGCUGAAGUAUUGUCACUAAAUUUUUAUCAAUAAAAUAUAAAGAGGAUCAUCCCUAAGAAAAAAUCUAAUUUAAUAGUUGCAUAUAGCAGGGAAUACAAUUCAAGUAAUACCUGCAAUGUUAACUUAGUAAACUAAAUCUCGUUAGGAAGAUUCCCCUCCAUGACACUAUUAUGGUCACUGUCCUCUGUACAUACUGCCACGGCCACAGACACCACGUAAACCUGCCUGAUACCCUUACCAUCUUAGGCAGCAACCAUACAGCCUUCAGGGAUGAGCCCCAGGAAGAGGGCUUCCAACAUGGAAUUUCCCACCCUUGCUUUAUUACAUGGCUACUGCAGAGCCCAAUAUGAGAGAAGUCAAUCAAGUGGUACCUGAAGGCAGCAAGUACACUACAUUUUCUGAACUCUCUUGUCAUGAAUUUUUCAUUGCCUCGGUCUAAGCUAGUCCUUGUACUGGAAAAUAGGCUGCCUGGGAGACUUCCCAGAGCACUGACUAUGCCCAGAGCACUGACAUAAUGACAUAAAAGAGUGCAUUUGUAUUGACUGCCUUCCUACAGCAGGCAAAAUGGUUGUCGCAAAGUCACAUCUUUCCUUUUUCUCAGAGUUGGCAAUCUCUGAAAAGUGGUUUGUGAAGCUCGCUCCACCUAGAAGCAGGGUGAUAUAUGGGAAGAAUAUAAAGUUGAUGGUCACUCCUCUAUGUUCAAAUCCUGUCCGACUUUAUAAACUUGCUCAAAUUACUCCUUGAGUUUGUUUUCCUGAAUGAAAAAUGGGGAUGCUAAACACAGUAAACCGUUUGCAGAAAUGGCCACAGUAAUUCUUACCAGCCCUGUACAUGUGCCCACUUAAAUGUGAAUUUGCCACUCCUUUUAUAUUGAAGUGGAAUUUAUUUUUUUAUUCCUUAAAUCUAAACUUCAAUUUGGGCUUGAAUAGGGCAUUAUCAAAUGUAAUGCAAGCAGAGGAUUGAAAAAUAUGUACACAUUGGAGCUUGAGUUGUCUUGCUGUUAGAAACCCUGAGACCACCAUGUGAAGAAUUAUCAGCUAGUCUUCCAGAGAAUGGGAGGUUAUACAGAGAGAAGUCAGCCAUUUAAGCCAUUUUAGCUGCCUCAAAAGUCCCAGCCUUCCCAAACAUCCCAGCCAACCAUAGAUACCCAAAAGCUAGAUAAAAUGUUUAUUUUAAGCCACUGUGUUUGGAGUGAUUUAUUACAUAGCAAAAGCUGAUACAAUAAAAUAAUGAUUACUAAUGUGCAUAAAACGUGUUACAUGGUGUUAGUUCAAUAAAUGACUACACAAAUAAAUAUUAAGUGACUUAGUACAAUUUAAGCUUGUUGUAGAAAAGGAAAAAUUAUCUCUACCACUGAAAAUAUUUCCUAUCACAUAAUAGCCUCCUAAUAAUUUUUUGAAUACAUUGACAGAGACUAGUUGCCAUUCUUUCUCACAGCACAGAAUUGCUUUAAUGUAAUGAAGAAUAUAUUUCAAGAUCUCUCAAGGGCCUGUAGGGUAAAGAAGGAAAGCUUCACCUUUGCCCUCUGAAGGUUUGCUGAAAAUAAACUGACAAAAGGCAGAUUAAUAGGAGAAAAAGUCAUAAAAAAUGUAUUUAAUGUGCAUAAGCAUGGGAGAAUCACAGGAAAAUGAUUGCCCAAUAAUCCAAUGAGGUCCGGAUGCUUAUAUAGCCUUCUUCAUACAGCACGGAGUAAAUAACAAAGUUCCUUUGAGCUCGGAGGGAGGUGGUGAGAAGGCAAGGGGCAGAACUUCACAGUGAACAAAGGUAGUCUUAUUAUCCAGUUAAAGCUUCCCAGUUAAUCUCCUGGAGCUGCCCUCAGAAGAAUAGAUGGAAAGUCUGUUUAGGCAUGGAUAGAAAAAGAUUAUAAAGUAUCACCAAAGUUCUGAAAUGGAAGUCUUAAUGGAAAGGACUGCUUCUUUACCCAGGAAGAGGCCGCUGCCUUGUUUUGAGCUGCCCUAUGGAGAGUCUCAGUGGCGAGGAAUUGAGGACAGACUUCUGUACGGACCUGAGGUCAUCAUUCCAACAACACAUGAAGAGCUGAAUCCUGACAACAACUUCAUUGGUAAGCUUGGAAGUGGAUUUUCCCCCAAACAGGCCUUGAGGUGACCACAGCCCUGGCUGACUGCAGCCUUGUGAAAUACCCUGAGACAGAAGACCCAGCUCAGCCACACCUGAACUCCUGACCCACAGAACCUGCUAUAAUAAAUGUUGUUUUGGCUAUUACGUUUUGGAGUGAUUUAUUAUUAGAUAACUAAUACGUAUGCAUUUGGGAAAGUAAAGGCCUAAGAGUAUAUGGAAGUGGAAUUGUUUGGCCAUAAUCUAUGCAUACGUUCAGCUUUAAUAUAUACCACUAAAUUGUUUUCAAAAGCAGUCAUUGUCAUGUACACUCCCAACAGCAGUGUGUGAGAGUUUUUAUUGAGUUCUACUGAAUGAUCUUUGUUAUUAAGCUUUUAGUAUAUGCCAGCCACUAAGUGCCUUACAUGUGCUGUUUCAUUUAAUCUUCACAACAGUUCAGUGAGGUGGGUAUUACUGUUUUCUCCAUUUUCAGAUUAAGUGAACCUGCCCCUGUCAUUUACUAAAAAGAGGCAAGCCAGGAUUUUAACCCAUGUCCAAUGCUCUUAGCCAUUAAGCCUCUCCUGAGACAGAUUUCAAUGCAAUUAUAGCCACAGAGAAAACACAUGUGAAAAAUAACCAUCAUAGCGCACUAAAGGAAGAGCAGCAUUUCAUCUUGUGCAUAAGUUAACCAUCAGCACUGCACAGGGCUGAUGAGGAGAAGAGGCUUCCAGACGGAGUUAGCAAAGGAAGAAAGAUAGGCAAUUUGGAAGGAGGGAAAGGAUGGCCCAGGAAGGCUGGGAGGUAAAGAAUAUGCAAGCAAGGUCAAGAGCUCUAUGCAUUUGGCUCACUCUGCCCUCUGCAUUUCCAGCCUCAUGCAGCGAUGUCAUCCUUAGCAGUGAGUUGUCUACUUUUUCCGUAGCUCUCCCCAGAAUAACACAGACCCCAGGGUCUUAAAUGAAGGAGUGAUUUUUCCAGAUAUUUCACCUUUCCCAAGGGAGAACACUACUCAGUUGUCUCUCCUUGGAACUCCUUCUUUUGCUGUUUAUUGUUUCUGAGUGUGAUUUUUUCCUUUCUUCCUCAUUCCGCUGGUGCUUGUCACCACUCUGAUGGGAAUUCCUCUUAAAAUGCCGGCAGUCUCUUUGAUAAGCCUCGCCUUGCAGACCUAAGGUAAACUCCUGGAAGGAUGCCCUGAACCUCUGGCUGUCUACCCACCUUCCACAACCCACAAAUGGAGUGUUUCUGUGUACA